AGUGAACGCUGGCGGUAGGCCUAACACAUGCAAGUCGAACGGCAGCACAGUAAGAGCUUGCUCUUACGGGUGGCGAGUGGCGGACGGGUGAGGAAUACAUCGGAAUCUACUUUUUCGUGGGGGAUAACGUAGGGAAACUUACGCUAAUACCGCAUACGACCUACGGGUGAAAGCAGGGGAUCUUCGGACCUUGCGCGUUUGAAUGAGCCGAUGUCGGAUUAGCUAGUUGGCGGGGUAAAGGCCCACCAAGGCGACGAUCCGUAGCUGGUCUGAGAGGAUGAUCGACCACACUGGAACUGAGACACGGUCCAGACUCCUACGGGAGGCAGCAGUGGGGAAUAUUGGACAAUGGGCGCAAGCCUGAUCCAGCCAUACCGCGUGGGUGAAGAAGGCCUUCGGGUUGUAAAGCCCUUUUGUUGGGAAAGAAAAGCAGCAGGUUAAUACCCCGCUGUUCUGACGGUACCCAAAGAAUAAGCACCGGCUAACUUCGUG
rnacentral:rRNA from 1 species